rnacentral:rRNA from 1 species
ACAUGCAAGUCGAGGGGCAGCAUGGUCUUAGCUUGCUAAGGCUGAUGGCGACCGGCGCACGGGUGAGUAACACGUAUCCAACCUGCCGUCUACUCUUGGCCAGCCUUCUGAAAGGAAGAUUAAUCCAGGAUGGGAUCAUGAGUUCACAUGUCCGCAUGAUUAAAGGUAUUUUCCGGUAGACGAUGGGGAUGCGUUCCAUUAGAUAGUAGGCGGGGUAACGGCCCACCUAGUCAACGAUGGAUAGGGGUUCUGAGAGGAAGGUCCCCCACAUUGGAACUGAGACACGGUCCAAACUCCUACGGGAGGCAGCAGUGAGGAAUAUUGGUCAAUGGGCGAUGGCCUGAACCAGCCAAGUAGCGUGAAGGAUGACUGCCCUAUGGGUUGUAAACUUCUUUUAUAAAGGAAUAAAGUCGGGUAUGCAUACCCGUUUGCAUGUACUUUAUGAAUAAGGAUCGGCUAACUCCGUGCCAGCAGCCGCGGUAAUACGGAGGAUCCGAGCGUUAUCCGGAUUUAUUGGGUUUAAAGGGAGCGUAGAUGGAUGUUUAAGUCAGUUGUGAAAGUUUGCGGCUCAACCGUAAAAUUGCAGUUGAUACUGGAUGUCUUGAGUGCAGUUGAGGCAGGCGGAAUUCGUGGUGUAGCGGUGAAAUGCUUAGAUAUCACGAAGAAC